UGUACAUCAGAAACUUCAAAUUCUUGCAGGCCAACAAUACAAACUUGUUGUCGGCCAUCUUCUCUCAUGCAAAGUUUCUUUCUAUCACUGAGAAGAUCAAAGAGUUUUCCACCAUAUAUUUCAAAAAAGCUGAGCCACAGUCUGAACCUCUGAUUUCGAUAAACUGGCUGGUGCAACAACCUAACAAGGUCGUCAGCAGCUCUUAGAGGCAAUGGUUGCAUGGUGAAUGUCUUACCACUACCUGUCUGACCAUAUGCAAAACAUGUAGCUUUUGUUCGCUGGAAAAUGAAGGGAAUAAUUGGCUCCACAGUAACACGAUAAACCUCAUCAUUGCUGACAUGCUGAUCCAGAACAGCAUCAAAACAAAAUUCAUGCUUCUCAACAUAUGCAGUCAGAUCCACCUUUAGCUUGGGUUCAUGAACAGUUAAAGCAUUAUCAGAUACAGUUACAAUAUCAUCUUCCUUUCGAGCAAUCUCCUUCUUGUUAAGAGGUCUUUUGCGUACCACAACUUUAAUUUUUGCCACAUUAUUUUCCCUAUUACUGUUCUCUUUUUCGAUAAUAGCAGAUGGAACAGAUUGAUCUGGAUCAUUUUGCUCUCUUUGCUGUUUAACACUAGUUGCAUCGUCGUCAAAUCCUUUUGAGCCACCAUGCAUAAAUGGUGAUGGCUCGAAUGUUUCUGAGAUGACAUGCUCAGAUAGAAGCUCUGUAUCAUCCAUAGCAUG
rnacentral:misc_RNA from 1 species